rnacentral:rRNA from 1 species
AAGCGUAGUUGAAUUUCGGGGUCAGUAGGUCGGUCGUGCCAACGGUAUGAACUGGCCUCACUGAUUCCUCCCUCUUGUAGAACCGUGAUGCCAUUAACUUGGUGUUGCGGGGAAACAGGACUGUUACUUUGAAAAAAUUAGAGUGUUUAAAGCAGGCUAACGCUUGAAUACAUUAGCAUGGAAUAAUGAAAUAGGACGUCGAUCUUAUUUUGUUGGUUUCUAGGGUUGACGUA